rnacentral:rRNA from 1 species
AUUGAACGCUGGCAGCAGGCUUAACACAUGCAAGUCGAACGAGUGGCGGACGGGUGAGUAAUGCUUGGGAAUCUAGCUUAUGGAGGGGGAUAACUACGGGAAACUGUAGCUAAUACCGCUUACCAUAGGUUUAGCACAAGUGGGAGUAGGUAGUGGGUGAGGUAAAGGUUCACCAAGCCGAAGUACUCUAGCUGGUCUGAGAGGAUGACCAGCCACACGGGGACUGAGAACCGGCCCAGAUCCCUACGGGAGGCAGCAGUGGGGAAUAUUGCGCAAUGGGGGCAACCUGACGCAGCCAUGCCGCGUGAAUGAAGAAGGCCUUCGGGUUUUAAAGUUCUUUCGGUAGCGAGGCGUUAACUACAGAAGAAGCACCGGCUAACUCCGUGCCAGCAGCCGCGGUAAUUC